AUCCACCGAAUUUGCCCUGCUUGGCUGCUUCCUUCUCCUCUCCUCCCCUCCCCUCCCCUACGCCGCGCACCGCCUCGCCGUCAUCGCUGCGGUCGCCGCGCGCACCCCACUCCAUCCAUCCAUAGCCUUUGCACGAUUGCGCUUGCGACCCCGGGCCGCCACAGCGCACUCGCACGCGAGGCCGCAGCCACCACCGAUGCCACUCCCGGGCUCGAACCCGCUGACGCCCGUCUUCCAGACCGUCGCCGCCUUCUCCCGACACCUCCUCAUCGCCCCCGACGCCGGUCCCGACGACCAACGCCUCCGCCCCCUCCUAUCGCUCUCCCUCUCCCCGCCGGCGAACCCACCGCCUCCGCCGGAGAUCCUGAAGGAGAAGAAUGCCAAGGCGGCGCCCCUGACGAAGGAGGAGGUUGGCCGGGCCACGUGGAUGCUGCUCCACACCAUUGCAGCGCAGUUCCCUGAUGAACCUACGAGGCAGCAAAAACGAGACGCGAAGGAGCUGAUGCAUAUAAUCUCGAGGCUAUAUCCGUGCAAAGAAUGUGCUGAUCACUUCAAGGAAGUUUUGAAAGCAAACCCUGUGCAGGCUGGAUCUCAGACUGAAUUCUCCCAGUGGUUAUGUUAUGUGCACAAUGUGGUUAAUCGAAGGUAAGUCCAUACAGUCAGCUUUGAGCUCUUGGUGUUACCUUCGGAAUCAUCUUAAUGCCCUGUAGUGUUGAAUUUGUUUCUAUAGAAUCAUAGGGAAAAUUAGGUCUCACGGCCAAAAAGAGGAAAACUAAGAAUCUUCGGGGCCUCCCCUGAUGAGACCGAUCUUAUGUGCUUCGUAUCUGAGCAUUUUGUGGUUGUGUUUUGCAGCCUUGGAAAACCAAUAUUUCCCUGCCAAAGAGUAAAUGCACGGUGGGGUAAGCUGGAUUGCCCUGAACGCUCGUGUGAUCUAGAAGGCACCAACGGCAUCAUGCCAAACCGAUGACACAACCAAGACUUUCUCUAAAAUUUGCACCGUAGUGAUAAUUUUAUUAUUUCAAACUGCUAGUAAUGUAUGAGCAAUACCUGAGGGAAUGGGGACAAGGAAAGAGAAUUCGGACACCAUUCCGCCAUAUCCAUAGCUUCUCUGUAUCCUUGGUGGGUUGGUACUUGCAUGUUAGAUGUGAAUCUGGCUCUUGAUGUUUGUACUUGUACAGUUCUACCAUUUUAACAGUAAUCGAAUUUUGUUCGAGCUA